AUGUCCUGGUCAUAUUUCACCCUUAAAUCAAAAGAAUAUAUAUAAAUAUAUAGACGUAUACAUUAUAUAUUCACUUAAGACGAAUAGCUUGUAUUCCUCAUUUGUCACUUUGGAUAAAAGUGUCUGCUAAAUGAACAAAAUGUAAAUGUGUGUGUGUAAAUAUAUAUAUAUUUUUAUAGUUAUUUAUAUAUGUAUACACAUAUUUUAAUAUUUACAUAAUUAGUAAAGAAACUCAAAGCCAUUUUCCGGCAUUCUGACUAUUUUGAAGACAAUUAAACGCAUUAACCCUUCAAAUUCACAUUAUUCUAAUAUUCAAAUAUUUUUCACAGUAAUUUGACAAAUACUGAUGCUUUAUUUUCUGUACGGGGAAAAUCAUUUCUUAUUUCCUUAUGAUUUCGGGGUGAAAUAUGCGCUGGAGAUUCACGCUUACCUUCUUCUGUGUCCGCAGACGUUAGUAUGGAGUUGUAAUUUUGUUCACACUCCAGUUAUUGUGUUUCUGUACAUCCUUCAGUCACGCAUGUUUCAGUAAUUCUGCAUUUCAGCCCCCAAAUUAAUUGCUAUUUAUUUUUAUAUCACAGAAUAAUGCUUUUGUGAAGAGAAAAAACCCUGAAAAUAAUCCAAACGCACAGUAUGAAGAAUGCAAUAAUGUCACUUAUGAGCAAUUCUGGAUCUGAGUAAUUGAUGAAGGGACAGCCGUGUGUGUGUGUGUGUGACGUGUGCUCAUACACACGCUUCUUUAUUCCAAAUGAAGGCAAUAGCAAAGA